rnacentral:lncRNA from 1 species
ACGGGACACCUGCAUCUGCCAACAAGACUGGAAGCAGGUGAGGCACACAGAGGGGGAGGCCCGCAGCUGCGUGGGAGGAGGGGUGGUCUGAGGGACGUGGGAUGCCGGGAAUGAGGCUGGUUUGCAGGUUGGCGCAUGGACAUUUUCCCAGAAAGGGACAGAGACGGCGAAGUUUGACGGUCUGGAAAGCAGAGACCAGCAGGGCUGACUGCUUGGGAGCACCAAAUAUCCGGACAGCGCCUCUCGGGAGGUCCGAGAAGAGAACCGCGAUCUGUUUCAGCACCGGGGCUCAGGACAGUUCCCAGCGGGCUCCGUUUCGUCUCCAGAACCCUGGACAGCUCCUCCAGGUAACGGGAGAGCCCUUUGACCCUGAUUUUGCAGGGGGAGGACGAGAGAGGGUGGUCUGAGGUGCCUGGCAUUUCUGGAGACCUGCACCUCAUGUAAUGGAUUUUUAAACAAAGUAUUUUCCAGAUAAGCACACACAGAAGUCUGCAAUUUUCUUUUUUUUUCGAGACGGAGUCUUGCUCUGUCGCCCAGGCUGGAGUGCAGUGGCACGAUCUCGGCUCACUGCAACCUCUGCCUCCUGGGUUCAAGGGAUUCUCCUGCCUCAGCCUCCCGAGUAUCUGGGAUUACAGGCACAUGCCACCACUCCCGGCUAAUUUUUGUAUUCUUAGUAGAGACGGGGUUUCACCAUGUUGGCCAGGCUGGUCUCAAACUCUUGACCUCUUCAUCCGUCCACCUCAGCCUCCCAAAGUGCUAGGAUUACAGGCGUGAGUCACUGCGCCUGGCCCAAGUCCGGAAUUUUCAACAGGUAAGAUACCUCACUGGGGUAACAGCUGCCUGCUAAGAUGACAUUAUGGUGUCUCUUCCAGACUUCGGUGAGAAACCUUGUGCCAAGCAUUUUACAUACAUCAUAUCAUGCCAUCUUCAACCCUAGGACAUGGGUGUUACUGUGCCCAUGUGACAUUUGGGGAACCCAAGGCCCUGAGAAAGGCAGAAAAAUAACCCACGCAGGGACUCUCAGCCCACAAGUGAAGCUGAGAACCGGGAAUGGAAAACAGGGAGGCAGCACAGAGGCAGGAAACUCAGGUGUCAUAGCUUGGCUCAGCUUGGAAUGCACUCCCUCCACCUCCAACCAGAGCUCCCCACAACUGACCCUGCCUUCUUCUGCAAGCUCCAUUUCAUCAAGGGAAACGAUCCUUAUUGCCUCACCAUUUCCCACGUGAAGUCUGUAUUGACAUUCUCAUAGACCUGGGAUAUUGUGUCUGCAGCACAUAGUCCAAUUAUUUUCAUGUUAUCUACUGACAGGUCUAUUUGUCUCCCUGUUACACUGUGAGCUCCGUGAGGGCAGAAACAAUGUUAGUAUUUUCACUGCUGUGUCCCCAGCGCCUGGUCCGGGGCCCGGCACACAGCAGGCAUAUAAUAAGCAUGUGUUGAAUCAAUAAAGGCAUCAAAGAAUAAACCAAUACAUCAAUCAAUAAA